UACGUAGGGUGCAAGCGUUGUCCGGAAUCAUUGGGCGUAAAGCGCGUGUAGGCGGCUUGGUAAGUCCGCUGUGAAAGUCCAGGGCUCAACCCUGGAAAGCCGGUGGAAACUGUCAAGCUUGAGUCCGGAAGAGGCGAGUGGAAUUCCUGGUGUAGCGGUGAAAUGCGCAGAUAUCAGGAGGAACACCAAUGGCGAAGGCAGCUCGCUGGGACGGUACUGACGCUGAGACGCGAAAGCGUGGGGAGCAAACAGG
rnacentral:rRNA from 1 species